UUCCAUGUAGACUGUAUUUUU
ensembl:piRNA 21ur-1261 ncRNA